rnacentral:rRNA from 1 species
ACGGGAGGCAGCAGUGGGGAAUAUUGCACAAUGGGCGCAAGCCUGAUGCAGCGAUGCCGCGUGAGGGAAGAAGGUUUUCGGAUUGUAAACCUCUGUCAACAGGGACGAAAAUGACGGUACCUGUGAAGGAAGCUCCGGCUAACUACGUGCCAGCAGCCGCGGUAAUACGUAGGGAGCAAGCGUUAUCCGGAAUUACUGGGUGUAAAGGGAGCGCAGGCGGGACUGCAAGUUGGAUGUGAAAUACCGGAGCUCAACUCCGGGGCUGCAUCCAAAACUGUAGUUCUUGAGUGGAGUAGAGGUAAGCGGAAUUCCGAGUGUAGCGGUGAAAUGCGUAGAUAUUCGGAGGAACACCAGUGGCGAAGGCGGCUUACUGGGCUCUAACUGACGCUGAGGCUCGAAAGCGUGGGGAGCAAACAGGAUUAGAUACCCUGGUA